ACCGGUAAUCAACUACGACGACGAUUAGCUUACUUCCGUUUCCACCCUUUCCCUGCACACUGUUCCAUUCUACUUAGCCUACAGACGCUAGGUCGUUUCGGGAAAAAGGACAGUUACCCACCUCGGAAGAUCAAGACAGUUGGAAAGGGCUAUUGAUAUUGUGGAAGCGUUUUCUCACAGAUGUUGCUUAUCAGACAAAGGCUAUUUAACUACAUCAGAAAGAUAAAAACAGUUGGAAAUGGCUAUUCAUAUUGUGGAAACUUUUCUCACAGAGCUUGAUAAUCAGGCAAAAUGCUGGAACACCCUUGAAAGAGUAUUUGAUGCAUGAUAACAAGAGAACCCAAGCAUCAAUUUAUUUUAUACUUCUGGGAAAGAAUGCAUUUGACCCAAUUUUUAAAUAUUUAUUUUUUGUUAUUAAUGUUAAAUUUUCUUCCAAAACACAAUUAGAUUUUAAUUCUCUUCAAAUAUGUAUGUAUAAUAUAGCAAGUAAAGUGACAUAUAAAUCAUUUAGAAUUUGGUCGGAAAUCAUAAAGUAUUUAAUAGGCAUUACUAGAAACCAAAUGUAGAUCAAAUACACCCAGAAUUACAAAAAACCUUGACCUACAUUAAGGUGACUUUCCCUUGCUUAUGAAAUGAAAUACGGUUUAAUAUCCUGCUUUUCUGUGUUCUUAGAGUGAUUCUACCCUACCCUUAUAUCAAAUAUUUCAACUGUCAAGGGUUCUUUAAAGGGAACUCAGGGGUCCGAAUGGUUAACACGCACACAUUUGAUCAGAAGGUCUGUCAUUGAGUCAAAUAAUUCAAUUUUCAAGGGUUCUUCAAAGUGAACGCAGUUGGGUUGGUUUCGAUUCUGGGGGGUGGGUGGUGGCCGAAUGGUUAGCACGUGUGUGCUGUAUCAUACGGCCUGUCAUUGAGUCAACUGGCAUGGUUUCGAAUCCCGGUUUUAGACAAGGAGUAGGGUCGCCUGUGCAAUCUUGUGGGUUUUCUCCGGGACCUCCGGUUUCCUCCCACUGCUAAAGACCCCUACGCGCAAGCGAAUUAUUGAAAUAAAAUUAAACCAUAUGUUAGUCCCGAAAUGACCUAGUUUGUGUCGAGUGGACGUUAAACCCCAUUUCUCUCUCUCUCUCUUUUGAUUCCAGACUUGUACCCAAUUAUCCCUUGCCAUAUCCAACACUACUGAAAAGUGGGAACUAUGCCGGAAAAUCCAGUUGAAAUUUCUUGGCCAACGCCUUAUACUCACUGAACCACUGUGGCUUAUGACUUGUGAUUGUAUAUAAAUUUUUUGUACAUAUAUUUUUUUAUUUCAAUUCUGUAAUCUUGAUGCUUUGCUUCUUUUAUUUAUAAAAUAUUCAUUUUGUUUGGGUUUUUUUUAUAAUGAGGAAAAGGCUCUACAUCAUUUUAUUACUCCUGCAAAAUAGUGCAUUUUUCUUUUGUUAGUUUUCUGUGUAUGCUAGUUAUUUCUAGAUGCCUCACAAAUCACUUGUAGUAUGAUUUUGUAGCACUUUUUAGUUUUUGAAAUUGUUUCAAUUUAGUGCAUAAUUAAUCUUAUUAGUGCUUGGUUUGGAUGUUAUUAAAUUUAGAUAUAUUUGAAUUAUAUAUUUUGGGGUAUGGGGUAGGGAUACUGUGUACAUAUCUUUAUAUUCUCAGUUCUUGUUUUGGGGUAAAGAACAAUUUAAAUAGCUAUUUUAUAUUUUGUGAUGGGUAAAGUGG